ensembl:processed_transcript
UGCACACGGGAGAUAACGCUGGCGAUAACACCUGCUAUCAAACUCACUCGGCAAAAAGGGACAAAACAGUCACUACUGGUAUGCUGUGCUACAGUGUGCGUGUCUUAAAAAAACCACACAUAUGUUCCAUUGUAUACCAAGUGCUUCAGUAAAUGAAAAUCACAUCUAAUACCCUGAGUGCCUCUCUUCAAUUAAGUAACCAUCUCACUCAGUUCUGACCCACUGCCUAUUGUGUUUCACACCCAAAUUUAAUACAUCCACGAACCCCUCCAUUUCA